rnacentral:lncRNA from 1 species
AUGGGGGAUGCGCUGGUCUGGGCCCUUCCGGCAGGGGGCCAUCCAGGUCACAACAGGCCAAGGAGACAAGCAGCCAACUUUGGAGGGAGUAUCCUGGGCCCACAUGCCAUGGGAGGAUCCUUGAGGCACACACAGAGGAAGUCUCCCCCCCCCUCCGGGCUGCCACCCCCUGAAGGACCCCAGGGUGGCCCCAGCAGAGAGCCCCCAGCCAGAGGAAUGGCCCCUGGGACCCCGAGGCCCCCUCCCAGUUUUGCUGCUUCCAGGACUUUUCUGUCACUAUGGGUAGGAGGCCCUAAUGGUGGAUACAGAAUAGAAAGUUGAAUGUAGCAAGCAGGAAAGUAACAUAUAUCUUUCCUCUUUUUGGAGGCCUCAAAACAUAAGGGACAGUCCUGAGGCCACUGAUCAACUGCCACCUUGACUUUUCUCCCCAGCACCAUCCCUAGUUAAUUUGUUACACCAAAGUGUUCCUAUCUCAAACAAAGAAUGUAAACACACCUUUUCCUGGGAUGAAUUAGCUUUUGUCUACACACCAAUUUGCCUCAUAAUCUGGUUGCAUUCACCAAGCUUAUCCCUUGAUAUGGACAAAUAAUAAUAAAUUAGCUGGAGGUGGGGAAACUGAUGCA